UACGGAGGGUGCAAGCAUUAAUCGGAUUUAUUGGGCGUAAAGGGCGCGUAGGCUGGAAGGAAAGUCAGAUGUGAAAUCCCGGGGCUCAACCCCGGAACAGCAUUUGAAACUUCUUUUCUAGAGGGUAGGCGGAGAAAAUGGAAUUCCACAAGUAGCGGUGAAAUGCGUAGAUAUGUGGAAGAACACCAGUGGCGAAGGCGAUUUUCUAGCUUAUACCUGACGCUGAGGCGCGAAAGCUAGGGGAGCAAACAGG
rnacentral:rRNA from 1 species